rnacentral:sRNA from 1 species
CACAGGAGGGCGCCCUACAGAGGUUGGCUUCACUAUGUUUAUAAAGUCUCUUCCUGUGGUCUGUCAUUGUGAUAUGUUCUCAGUUGGCUCUGCUGUUGGUUGUAAAAAAAAAAAUUAGCAACAUUUUCUAGAGUGGAUUGUUGUCUGGGUGUUGACAGUCCCUUUCCUUACAAAGGAAAGGGUGUGGAUGUGAGACAAGCUGGUCCCUGAGGCUGACAAGAAGAGUGAUUUCUGAGCAUGGAGCAUAGGGAGAGAGGCAGAUACCCACUUGCUGAUAUUGGUCAAAUCAGGGGCAAUCCCACCAUGUUAGGAAUCAAUGCAUUGAGACUUGAGCCACGGACGCAUCAAUCAGCCCAUGGAUAUGAUUCCUGAAACCUACAAAUGACGCUAACCUUUCCCGAAAUUGACUGAGGCAGAAGAGUUAAGUAGCUCAUGGAACUGCCAAGUUGAAGGGCAGGGCUGAUAUUAAAUGUGGCUUAUGCAGAGGCCACAUGAUCUGAUCACAUCUGGAUUCUCUCCUCUUCCAGAAUGUUGGGUUUAUUUUGACACAGGUCCUACAUUCACGGUGGUGAAAUUAUUGCUAAAUGUUAGCUUUAUGGCUGUGAACCAAAAAACUGCCUGACCAAAGCAACCUAAAGAAGGGUUUGGCUUUCAGUUUGAGAAGCAAGGAAUGCAGGACAUCAGGAGAAACGGCUGAUGCCACAAUGGUUUCUGCAAUGAAGAAGCAGAACGCUCUGAAUGCCAGGAUCCACCUCGCUCCGUCCUUUUCGUGCAGUUAGGAACCUUAGCCCAUGGAAUAGUACUACCCACAUUCAGGAUACAGCAUCCCACCUCUGUGAUUGAAGUUCACACUUGACUGUGUAGUGAGUUCCAACCAGUCCGUGCUACGUGAGACCUGGUCUUAUGAAACAAACGAUAACCUCACAAGGACAACCACUUUGUGAAAAAUAGAAAAGAAAAUAUUCUGCUGGGAAAAUGUUUACUUCUCAGACACACUCAGGAGUGAAAUAAGGGCUUUCUCCAGCAACCGAGAAGGUGGAAGAUCAAAGACUGCUACGGCCUAUUUUGGAGAUGCUCUGCCAGGUGUUUGAGGAAUUAUAGAGAAACAAACACCCAGGUGAGCAUUGUGAACCACAGAUGCUUUGUUUUCUGCUCUAUUUUCAUAAAAAGAAAAGUUGACAACUGGAGAUAUUUACAAAGAGUCCAUCCAUCCUUUUCUAUUACAAAUGUCUUUACUUUCUUUUUAAAUUUUAAGUAAAGUAGCAUCCAUGUAUCUUCUGCAGACUAGUGCAACAAAUAGAAGGGGAUAUGGAAACAUGCCUUCUGUGAGUUAGUCUCUGUGUCCAUAGAAUGUGACGCCCAUUAGAACGUAAAUUUUAUGUGAAAUACAGUUGUUGCAAUCGUGUAUAAAAAUGUUGAUUUUAUACACAGUAUAGCCAUUUUGGGGAUUAAGCAUCAGACACAAAACCUCCUACAAGUGGACCUGGAGUCUCUAGGGCUUUAGUGGCUGCCUUCCUGAUGGUUAGAAGAUAACCUUUAAUAUAAUCAAUCAUGUUCACUUGGAUUUUCUAUGAUGAACAAUGUAAACAUUUGACUUGGAAAGUACUGGAAGAAUCAGAGCCCAAGAGAAGACUAAUAAGAAGUGAAAGUCUCCUUAUCAAGUUUUAAACCAAGUACAGAUUUUUCUGGGUGACCAGACACAGCUGUGAAAGCGUUGCCUCUAGAACUGUUUUGUUUCACUGACAGGCGAAUUUUUCCUCUCAGGAAAAUCUUCUUAAAAAAUGCUUAUUUUUUCAAAAAUAAAAGUUAACAACAGUUAUCUCACAGGAAAAAGAAGCCUAUAUACUGCACAUCCGAGAUCCGUGUCUUAACUACAUGACCUUGGGCAAUUAAUUUUGUCUUCACUGGUUUGUGUCUUUAAAUUUCUGCAUAAAAUAGAGGCUCUGGCAGUUUCGAUCUCAAAUGAUUUAUUUAUAAAAUGAGAAUUUUUUCAUUUUCUCCAAGUCAUUUGUCAGGAUCACAUGAGUGUCACUGCAGAACCAGGGCAAGGUCUGAUACGUCAGCCACUUGAUUUUUCUAUUCCAAGAACAGCACUCAGGGUCUUGAGUUGAGCCAUGAAGAAACUUGUGCAGUUAGGAUGCGUCCUCGAGUAGCAUCUAGAAUUCAAUGGUUGGUUUCGAUCCCUCAUCAGAUUGUAUCUUCCUAACGUGAAAACUGCUGAGAGAGAAACCUGUCUGAGGCUGAUUGCCAUCUUGGUUGAGUGUUACCUAUACGGCACAUGCGCAGCAGGUCGACAAAGUUUUGCUGUCUCCCCGUUAAGAAUCAGUAAAGUGAGGGGGUGACCCUUUUGGAGAAACUGAUGCUAAGUGGGUGGCAGGGGAUUAAGAAGAACUAAUCAAAUUCGGUUUUAAUUUACUUUACUUCCCUUUGUGGAAUUACUUACCCGUCUUGGUCACAGAAAGGGAAGUCUACAAAAUCUGUGUUUCAUGGGCUGCCAAGGAGUUGCAGAUAAUUGCAUGCUUUUUGUCACUGUGGAAAUCCUCUACACUUUUCUAACAAUCUCUGAGGCCAUUUUGUGGUUUUCUUUGCAAGUUGAUGUCGUGCAGCUCUCUCCCGCUUCUGCCUUACUUUUCCGAUUUUCUUCUCACAAACAUGUGACUCCGACGAAAAAUAGAAUAUUGGAAACAACCAGUUUACCUUUUAUGGUUCUGAACGUCUUUUUAUAUAUUUCAAAAAUAAAUAUUCUGCCCUUGUCCCUCAAUCACCCUUGAAGACUGAUGGCCCACGCUGCUGAAUAUUUAUGGACUUUAAAUGUUCUUCAGGUUGCUAAGGGCAUUUCAAAAGGAGAGAUCCAAAGACAUUUUAAAUAUCAGUAGCAAUGAAAUAUGUGGAUAAUUCCCAAUAGUGAAUGCUCUCGGGGAAGAAAAUUACUGUGCUGCUUUCCUUUAAAAACGUUUGUUAAAUGUUGAGUCAGGUGACGUCGUAAGUGUACUUCAUAGCUGUAGACGCUCAAUAUAUGCAUUUGAGUGUUUACAAUGUUACAAUCUUGGGUCUCGUGCACGUUUUAGAAGGAAGAUGAAAAUGAAAAGACAGAAGCAGAGAAAAUCGGCGUGUAAAACCAUGGGAGGAAACACUUGCUGGGAAAACAUGGGGAAGUUUGACAGGUUCCCUAACUCAGAAAACACCAACAUGUUUUAAAAAAAAAUGCUGUGAAAAGGCAGUUGUAUUUAGGUAUUUUUGACAAACUCGAAGGCAGAAACAGAAGCCAACGAGACAGGAACCUGAAUCCCUUCAAAAGCCUUUCAUCUUCUAAUUUUGAAAUACAUUUUCACUCUAUCAUUUUUGUUUACAGAAACUUAAGGAUCCGGUUUCAACUUUAUCCGCUUUAAAUUUUACACGCAGGAGAAAUCCUAAAACUGCAUUUGUGUCUCAGAUGAAUGUGAUUUUUGCCAUAAGCCACGGAAAAGCCAGGAGUCACAAAUGCUCCGACCUUUUGCUCCUGCCGGGUGAGCGCAAGCUCUCUUCAAUAAUUCAGUGGCUUUCUGUAACGAUGACAUCAUAAUGAUGAGCUUGUCAGAAAACAUUCAGAAUACCGAGCCAAAACUUAAAGGGACCAGUAGGGCAUAAUAGAGCAAUAAAAAUAAGCUCUAACUGCUCAAAA